GGGGAUGUAGCUCAGCUGGGAGAGCGCAGCGUUCGCAUCGCUGAGGCCGUCGGUUCAAUCCCGUCCAUCUCCACCA
rnacentral:tRNA from 1 species